UCCUGAAGUCCAUUCAGAGACCAAAGGGAGCGUGCUGUUGCUGGAAAAAGAGAGGAGGUUCAAAGACAAGGGGCUUCAUGAUGCCGUGAUUCUGUAUGAACAUGAAGAGAGACAAUCAUUCACACCAUUUAGAAGAGGCAGCAAGGAUUCUCCCUCCUGCAGCAGCUCUUCAGCCACAGGAGUUUCUGAGCCUGUCCCAAGAAAGGAUUCC